UACGUAGGGUGCGAGCGUUAAUCGGAAUCACUGGGCGUAAAGGGCGCGUAGGUGGCGGCCCAAGUCCAUGGUGAAAGCUCGAUGCUCAACAUCGAGUCGGCCACGGAUACUGGGUUGCUCGAGCACUGUAGGGGCAGAUGGAAUUCCGGGUGUAGCGGUGGAAUGCGUAGAGAUCCGGAAGAACACCGGUGGCGAAGGCGGUCUGCUGGGCAGUAGCUGACGCUGAGGCGCGACAGCGUGGGGAGCAACAGG
rnacentral:rRNA from 1 species